GGCGAAAGACAGGGGCGUCUGGCGAAAGCCGGGCUGAGAAGCACCCUUUGAACCUGAACCAGAUCAUGCUGGCGGAGGGAGUCGUUUCGGCCUGUCG
rnacentral:ncRNA from 2 species